AACGAACGCUGGCGGCAUGCCUAACACAUGCAAGUCGAACGAGACCUUCGGGUCUAGUGGCACACGGGUGCGUAACGCGUGGGAACCUGCCCUUAGGUUCGGAAUAACUCCCCGAAAGGGGUGCUAAUACCGGAUAAUGUCUUCGGACCAAAGAUUUAUCGCCUUUGGACGGGCCCGCGUUGGAUUAGCUAGUUGGUAGGGUAAAAGCCUACCAAGGCGACGAUCCAUAGCUGGUCUGAGAGGAUGAUCAGCCACACUGGGACUGAGACACGGCCCAGGAUCCGAGGGGAGGCAGGAGGGGUGAUGAUGGACGAAUGGGAAAAGGCAUGCUCCAGCGAGGGUGAGUGAGUGAGAGAGGUCUGAGGGUUGGAACGUUUUUUUCCCCGGGAGAAUGAAAACGGUGAGGGGAGAAACAGCGCCGGCCACCUCCGUGCCAGCAGGCGCGGUAAUAACCGGAAGACCACACGUUUCACC
rnacentral:rRNA from 1 species